GUAGCAUACAGCUUGCAACACAUUUGUCUGAAAAAUCUAUUUUACUUCCAUACUUAAAAUAUCAUCAGCACUCAAGUCUACACAACUGCAAGAUGAAGUCAAUCCAUGUGAUAUGUGCGGUCUUCUUGAUCGCCGCCCUCUGUGAUGCGGGUAAGGUUUAUGUAAACAAUAUUUUCUAUAUCUAUUUAAUUUUCAGUUUGUAAUGUUAGAACAAAAAGUUAUCGAUGUAUAUCUCCAAUCAUUAUUGGGAAAAAAUCUUGGACAAAUAUCCUGAAUUAAAGUUCGUGCAAACAUAAAAUGAAUAUGAGAGUCACUUCACUGGCAAAGUUUUGUCACAUUUGCGAGCCGGGCAACAUCUCCUAUUUCUAUAUUCCAUGCUAUUUAUCUUCGCGACUUAUUUUAAUGUUUAAUUUUAUGUUUAAGUAAUGUUUUUAUUGAUAGUUUGUCAUAAUCAUUUUAGACAUGCAGGAGAGUAACGCAAUAUAUCUAGUCUGCCUACCAGUCCGCAGAUACUGAGAUCAUUUCCGGUUUUUGGCCGAGUUCGUUUUGCUCAGGAUUUGUUGUUCGAUAAUGUGUUGUGUAUACUGCUGUUUGUCUAUUGGUCUUUUAUUUUGCCAUGGCGUUAUCAGUUUAUUUUCGACUUAUGAGUUUGAAUACCCCUUUGAUACCUUUUGUCACUCUUUUGAUGUCUACUCCGAUAGUACUAGGAAAACAUAUGUUCUUACAUUACACAUAACUGAAACAUAUGCAAAAUUUCUUGUAUAAAAUUAUUACAUUAAUUUGUAAAAAGCUUAGUAACACGGUAGAAUUGCAUGCCUGUUAUCAGCCAAGUUCAAUUAAAUUCACGUUUCGAAACAAGGUAUGGUUUUUUGCUUUAUGCUGUUAUUCUUAAAUGUUCCAAAUGGAAUAUAUUUUGUAGAACUCUUAGUUUUGAAAUCAAAGCGGGCGAUAUAAAUAUUUUGUAUCAGUAUUCUUUAUUGACAUCAUAAAUAAAUCUAUAUGGGAUCACAAAACGAACGUUACGAAUAAAGCGAUAAACGGUAAGUGACUGUUUAUCAGAAAGAAUUGUAUGAUCAAUAUUAUAUAAAUUAGGCUGUUUGUCUUCUUGAUUGAAUUGUUUUACAUUUCAUGGUCUUUUAUGAAUGUUGUUCCUCAAUGCUCUUCAACUUCGUACUUUAUUUGGCCUUUUUAACUUUUUUGGAUUCGAGCGUAUAUACAAAAUUUAGUCCUGGUAUCUAUGACGAGUUUAAUUAUAGCUGUUCAUACGGUACGGGCUUUGCUAUCUUUGAUAGUCGUUCGGUGACCUUUACCUGUAGUUGAUAAUUUCAGUGUCAUUUUGGUCUCUUGAAGAGCGUUGUCUGAGAUACGGUGGAAAAAUCUGUUUCUUUUAUGAUAUAUAAUCGUAGUAACAUGUCAUCGUUCGUUUAGUUUUGAAAACAAAAUAUCGGGAUCUUUAUAUCAGAAGUCAUUAGUCAUGGUCGUCUUUUGUCACGAAACUGAAAUCGGACGAUAGGAAGAAAAUAUGUUGACACGAUAGAAAUGUUACAUAAUCACAAGUUCAUUAUACAACAGUCCACUUCGACGGAAGUCCAAAUCGAUUAAUGAGAAAUUAUCAUAUAUAUUCAUAGAGAUGUCUUUAAUUUCAUAUCACAAUUUGGUAAACUUAACAAAAGCAGUCAACAAACACACGAAGAGACGUAGUCACAACAUAAAAGUGUAUAUGAGUUUCUAUUCUAAAAGAAAUUGUAAUUUAAUAAAAAAAAAAAAAAAUUUUUUCAAAAUUUGAAUAUUUUAGUUUUAAUAUAUAAAUUGGAUGUAGUUAAGGUCUUAUUAUGUCUUCAGGAAAAAACUAAGAUGACACAAAAUUGAACGAACAAAUUAAAAGAAACUGUUAAAUGAUCUCAUCGAUAAAUUAAAAUAUAUAUAUUAUAUUAAACUUAUCUUGAGGAUUUUUAUCACGUAUACUUACUUUUUGUAGGUUGUUGUCGACAUUCUAGUUCAUAGCAGUGGUAAUGUUUUGAAUCUAGUUAAGGAUUAUGUACCCUUUUGUUGACUCUAUGUUAAACAUAUGGAAGUUUUAAAGAAAAUCCAGAGCCUUACCCUUUUUACUAUCAUAUUUGUCGAUUCGGUGUUUGAUAGAUAGAGUACUAUUGCAUGCGAUGCUAGCAAUAAUUUCCUUUAAACAAGUUUAUAAAUUUAGAUACUGUUGAAAACAAAUAUAAAUAUGGACCUAAUCAAGUACACUUUCUAUGGUGUGCUCGACUUUUGUGACUCAGCACGAGGUUGUUUGGAAUUUAAAGUCUGUUAAGACUUUUGUUAUACAAUAAAACUAGCAAAUCAUAGAAAAACAAAUAAGUAAUCUAUAUUUUGAUUUUUAUAACAAAAUUCUCUUUAUUAAAGUGUGUUUUGGUUUAAUUUGACAGAAAAUCGCCCUUUUCUAAUAAAUGCAAUAAAACAAUGAAUAAUAAUGCUUUGUACGAAGUUUCUGCUUGGUAUAUGUACAAAAUGUCCCAUCUCUAUUAUCCGUUAUCUUUAUUAUUUUGAUACUAUUGCAGUGUGAAUUUUUUUAAUUCCCAUGCCAACAAAAAGGGGUCAUAAACCUAAAAGCAUAUUACAUUACAUAUAAUCCCCACAUGCUGCCACAUGUAACAUCUUGCAUUUAUAUCUUUAUUUUUAUUCCUUUUAUUUAACAAGGAAUUAUUGCGCUUAAUUUAGUAUGUUAUACUAAACGAUGUGUGAUGCAUUUUUGUUUUAGAAAUGAACCAUUCAAAUCAUCAGCUAUCAAAUGAAAUACAAUCAUAUAAAACGUAAUAAAACUUUCUCAAUAUUGCCCUCGCCUAUGUCAAAAAAGUAUUCGAUAUACACUUCAUAUAAUUUGAUCAUUUUGAUUGCAUAAAAAAUAUCAACAAGUAUAUAAAAACAGAUGAGACAAAUAAAAGUCGCCUUCAUGAAAAUAAUGAAACAAUUCAAUUGAGAAAACUCACAGCCUAAUCCAAGACAAAAGAAUAUACUAACAAACUUCAGACUAGAUUGCCAAUUAGAUAACUCUUUUCCAACAAAUGAAACAGAAGUAAAGAACUACUAAUAACAGGUCACCGUACGGCCUUCAACAAUAUGGAAAAUCUAUACUGCAUAGUGAGAUAUAAGAGGCUCUGAAAAAACAAAAUGUAAAUAAUCCAGACGAGAACACUAACGACCUGUUUUAUAUACCAAACAAUGACCGAUUUCUUUUUAAUGAUAAUCAGCAAAAAUUACAGUCACUGAAUUACAGGCUCCUGACUUGGGCACCACUCACAGAAUGUGGUGUGGUUAAGCUACUUUGUAGGUUUAUCUUAAACUGUGACCGUGGUGUAAUAGUACAAUAUAUGAACAAACUAUAAAAAUCGGUUGAAAAGAUUGACACAAAGCAGAACAUGCAUUUAUAAAACCCAACAGCAUGAAACCCCAAGAAUUCACUUAAUUUUAAUUGAUAGUUGUCUCAUUGGCAAUCACCCCAUAUAUCAUUAUUUUUAUACUAAGAACAUAUAUAUUGUAGUCACUCACAGCUAGCUUCUAACAACGAAUAAAAAAACAAUCAUUUAAGACUAAACUGUUUUAUUUUAUCUGAUUUAAAGGUUAUUCUGUUUCGAACGAGCUAAAAUGCUACGCAGAUGGCGGAUAUUGUGAUAGUUACCCAUGUCGGACAGGAUACAGUUGUGACAAAAAGUUUUUGUAUGGCUGUUCACAAAGCGAAAACUGCUGUCUUCCAGGUAUGUGUUGAUAUUACAUAUUUUCAAAUUGUUAUUUAAAAUAUUUUAGAGGUAUUACUUCUUUCAUUUCACUUGACUGGGCGGAGUUAAAACGGUUUGCUCAUCAUUGAGCAGUCCAUCUGCUGAUAAGUGUUUUUGGAGAAACUCAUGAAUGAAGUGUCCAGUUAUGGUCAUUGUUACAUUGUUAUUCGUUUGGUGACACUGCUAGGUGAUUAGAAAUAAAUGAUACUUAUCACACACAUCUUCAAAUAGACUGUCCUUAUGCAAAUUAAAAUGUAAGCUCCGCCCGAUCAGUUGAAAUAACAUUGGUAAUAAGUUGUGAUUGCUAGGAAAGAGUAAAACAUCAUAGACAUUUGCCUUUCAUACUAUAGAUCAUGAACAAUUAUUGUCUACUAAAAGUAUUAUUCUUGUUUUAUACGAAAAUGAUGAAAUUUUCAGUUAUCCUUAAGAGUCGUCAGAAAUAUUUUUUUCAUAAAGUUUGCUUAUUUAUAUUUAGGAGACAAAACAUUAAAGAGACAGAAAACCUCCGAGUAUAAUAAAAAUCGAAGAGAAUUAAAUUGAUUAUAAUGAAUAAAAUUGUACACCUGUUACAGAAGUGAAAGUGAGGUAAAAAAUAAUUGAUUAAAUUAUAGCCAAAGGAUAUUAAACUUGCACAUGAAAAAUUAUAAAUAUUGUACAACUAGUAAUAUUAUAUCCUAUAAUUUUUUUAGUUUAUAAAGCAAUUAAAAUUUGCAUUUUUCUAGAUCAUCUAAAAGCUGCUUUGUUAUCCGCACUUUUUUUAUAAGAUAAACCCUCAAGAAAGGAAACCAUAGGCCCCUGUUGCAUUGUUUUUCCAAUCUUUUUAAAAGGGCAAAAUAUGACCAAUUCAUGGUACAUUUUCAUUCUGUACUGUCGGCAAUAAAAUCUGGUUUUAGUUAAAAAAAAAAAAACACUUUUAAUAUUAUAGAACUUGGGAAGAAAGCACAUUUGUUGCUGCAAUUAUGAUGGGAAUAUAUAAAGCAUUUCGUUGAUUACUGCACGAUAUACUUUUAAUAAAGUCUGAAGUAUAUGGUCUGUCAACAAAAAGAAUCUAAAUUAUUAUCAAGUGAAAGUUGUUUUUGAAACAGAAAACAACGUUUACCAAAUUUAUUGAUUUUUUUGACAGUGGAUAAAAUCAGAUGUUUAAAUGUUUCAAUUACCACAGGGUCAAACUCGUGGUCCAGUUCUUUCUAAUGUCUUAAUAAAUUCCAUAUUUGUUUUUGUACAAACAAGUAUCAUUAUAGAUAUACUGAUGAUUACAAUCUUUGGAGCCACGUUAGAAUCGGAAUUGACUUUAUUUAUCUGAAAUAUGUAGAAAAGCAUCAAGAAAAUUUUAGCCAUCCAGGCAGACUAAUAACAUCUAUUUAUUCAUUUAUUAAGAUUUCAACUAUUGUCAAGUAAUUUGGAAUUAUUGUGGUGAAAAAAAAUCUUUAAAAAUGGAACAAAUGUCCAUAAAGACUAUGCAGAAAAGCCGAAGGCCACCAAUGGGUCUUUAACACAGUGAGAAAAUCCAACACCCAGACUUAUGAUAAAAAAAAACAAAACAAAACGAAGGAUCUACAUUGUUCAAUUGAUAUUAAAAUUCAGAAUUAUGAUUUUAGAUAACAGUGUUCCAAAGCAGUACUCCCAAAAGAUUGAAGUACCAGGUAUGGG
rnacentral:lncRNA from 1 species